rnacentral:rRNA from 1 species
CACGUAGGCACCAAGCGUUGUCCGGAUUUAUUGGGCGUAAAGAGCUCGUAGGCGGUUCGGUAAGUCGGGUGUGAAAACUCUGGGCUCAACUCAGAGCCGCCACCCGAUACUGCUGUGACUCGAGUGCGGUAGGGGAGCGGGGAAUUCCUGGUGUAGCGGUGAAAUGCGCAGAUAUCAGGAGGAACACCAGUGGCGAAGGCGCCGUUCUGGGCCGUGACUGACGCUGAGGAGCGAAAGCGUGGGUAGCAAACAGG